AUGGAGCCAGCAAAUGCCAGAAUAAAGAUUCUCAACCAAAUCUGCUUGACUCAAAAUCAUUCUAGACCUCACAAACCUGAACGACACUGUGCGGUAUUUCUGCAAAAUAAUAAUGAUUUCCAUUGUUUGAGCCAUUAUGUCAUUCAAAAGUUUUCAGAACUGCAACAUUUCCACUUGAUUUUAAGCAUUCACAACCAAAGGUGGAGUUCAACAGAGGCUUCUCCAUGCGAUUUUCUGAACAGAGUACCAUCCCUUCAAGCAUUAAGAGAAUAUGACCGAAGGAAUAGUUUAAAUAAGAAGCAGUACCAGAGGGAUCCCUGGGUGGCACAGCGGUUUAGCGCCUGCCUUUGGCCCAGGGCGCGAUCCUGGAGACCCGGGAUUGAAUCCCACGUCGGGCUCCCGGUGCAUGGAGCCUGCUUCUCCCUCUGCCUGUGUCUCUGCCUCUCUCUCUCUCUCUCACUCUGUGCCUAUCAUAAGUAAAUAAAAAAUUUAAAAAAAAGAAGCAGUACCAGAAUAAGAUCAAUAUACAUCAGAUGUGAGCUCUGAGGUCUAUGACUCAAGCUGUGCUGUUUUCUUAUGAACAGUCUCCAUUUCUAGUUCUUGUCUAUAAAAGCAUGUCCAUGUUCCCAAACUGUUACUGUAAAAAUAGGGGCUUCUCAUUCUUUGGCUUAUUUCAGCUAAAGGCCAGUAAACAGCUUUGGGGGCAUAUAUGAGGAGGUUGGGAGAGGGGGAUUAUACUUACUAUUGACACAUCUAUAUUUUAGUAAGCGGAGAAAGCGUACUCAGAAAUGUUCUGUAAGUCAAAAUAUACCCAUCAAUAAGAAAUUUUCUCUCGGCGUGAAUUUUAAUUUAAAAAACUCAGUAUUGGGAUCCCUGGGUGGCGCAGCGGUUUGGCGCCUGCCUUUGGCCCAGGGCGCGAUCCUGGAUACCCGGGAUCGAAUCCCACGUCGGGCUCCCGGUGCAUGGAGCCUGCUUCUCCCUCUGCCUGUGUCUCUGCCUCUCUCUCUCUCUCUGUGUGACUAUCAUAAAUAAAUAAAUUAAUUAAAAAAAAUUUAAAAAAACCCCUCAGUAUUGACUCAUAAUUCACAAUCCUUGCAAAUUAAGCCACCGGGCUUAAAGUUUACUCCAUUCUUUCUGUCAUUCCUUCUGCCCACAUACUUACACCUUCCUCAAGAUAAUAAUUACACAUUUUACUUCAGGUAAUAUCCUAUAGUUUGUAUAUAUCAACACCAACCUGGGUAGGUCACAUUAUUUUAGUUCAAGGAAAAACACAGACAUAGGAUUCUUCACCCUUGGUGGCUGGGUCUCCUGCCCAAGGCACAAGUGAGCACACCCAGCAUACCCUUGCUCUUUCGGAUCCAUUCUUCCUACCUCUUAGCCAAAAAUAUGCCCUCCUGUCCAACAUAAAAAUCCCACUGGCUUGUUUUAGCUCCUUUACAAUUCUGCUUUUCUUUUCAUGCAAUGCAUCAUCCAGAACACACAGGAUAAAGAAUCAAUCAGACAAAUUCAAGGUUUUGUUUAGAGAGAGUCUCUAAGAUAAGAAAGAGAGUGAAUGAAUUUUCCCAUUUUAGUAAUUUCUGUAUAUGUUGCUUACCUAAUAAGCUUUUUUUCCCUUUUGCACUGUUAUGUGCAUGUGUUAUUUUUAUGUGUUGUUACAAUGAAUGAAUGAAUGAAUGAAUACAAAUAAAUCAACAAGAGUGUCAGUAUCUUGGCAGGAGUGGUAGUGAUUAAGCACUUCACAUGUACUGACAUACUUUUGAGGGCCACUACUUGUAGAUGCUGAAUCCAGGAGAUUUUUCUAGUAGACAGCCCAUGUUCCCCAGGAUUUCAGAGUCUGAAGGGAAGCCUGCCUGUGCUACAGCAACUCUGGUCUGGUAUAAGAGAAGCCUCUCAGGUGGCUGUAGCAUUCUUGGAGUUGUCAUAAUAAGCCAUCUAUUUCUGCCUGUGAGUUCAAUCACCACCUUCAAAUAGACACAAUAACAGGCUUAAAGCUCUCUUAGAACUAGAUUAUUUUGCUACAGCAUUCAGGUCAGGAACCUGAAGAUUCUCCCUCAUUCCAAGAACUUAAUGUGUCUAUUGGUCCUGAACGAAAAUGCUUCACUGAGAUUCUCCCCCAGAAUCAUUCUGGGAAAUACAGGUAUUCCUUGUUUCUUGUUUAGGUCUCUCCUGGAAAAAAUUCACCUCUCUUGCACUUUGUGUUUGCAUGGACUUAGAUGCAAAAAAAAUUGAACAUAUGAACACAUAACUUUGUUAUUCAAAAUUGCAUGCAUUGUAACAAAAUAAAGUUCUGCAUUGUAAUGAAACAUUGCUCUAUAAAAUAUAAAUACCACAUGCAAAAGAAUAUAUGUUAAAAAUUUUUUAACCUGUCAGAAAAUUUAUAUUUCUCUGCUUUUAAGGUCACCAUUGUUGAUUCCAGGCUUCAGUUUUCAGUUGGGAGAGCACCUUCUCAAAUGCAUGACUCCCCGGACUUUGUACAAAUCAUUUGUCACCGCUUUGUGAGAGCCUACUUCUCUUCCUUUUUUCCCUAAUUUUCUUUACAGGUUUCUUAUUGAAGAGAAAGCACCUGCUGGUUUACCGCUGUGACAAUUUCUUAAACACGGAGAUGUUAAGCCACGUUUUUCUUGAAGUAACACCUUAUUUGUCUCCUCCAUUUCACAAACAUGCUUGCAGAGAUAAUAUUCUAUACACAGUAUCCCUAAUUCUCAUUCUUGUGUUUCCUCUUCCACCUACUUCCAUCUGGAUCCUGUCCCAUCAGUUCCUCGCAAGUCACCAGUGGCGUCUGUUUGCAGAUACCCUGAGACAGAUCAUCUGCAGCUGCCCUGCAAGCACCACUCUGGCCUUCUUCCCUGUAGGAGACUCUCUCCCCAUGUGUCCUCCCCCCCACCCCGUGUGUCAUUCCCACUGUGCUGGCCACUCCCCUCAAUGCCCUUGUCAGACUCUCCUGUGCCUGACCUUACAAUGUUGAGGGUCUGCAGGAGGAGCACAUGUAGGUCCUCGUCUCAUUGUGCUCUCUAUGUAGAAGUGACGACCUCCACUCCCAUGUCUCAUUCCCAGAUAUGCAAUAAGGAAUCCCAAAUUGACACCUUCCUCAUGGCAUUUUUCUAAAUUCCAGAACCACAUUCCCAACUGCCAGUAAGACUUCAUCAUUUAUAUGUCUCCCAGGCACCUUAGAAAGGACAUCUAAUAUUAUUUUUCCUUUCUAGCAUUAUUUCUAGCUAAAGUUUCUUGUGUCAGGGGCCUGGGUGGCUCAGUCGGUUAGGCAUCUGACUCUUGAUUUUGGCUCAGGUCACCAUCUCAGGAUUCUGAGAUCUAGCCCCAAAUCAGGCUCUGUGCCGGGUGUGGAACCUCUGGAGGUUCCCUCUCUCCCUCUCCUUCUGACCCUACCGACCCCUCCCUCUCUAAAAAAAAUAAAAAAUAAAAGUAAAGUUUCUUGUGUAAGAACAUUAUUUUCCUUUGCUUCUCUUUGUAGUUUUAACAGAACUGAAGUAAGAUAAACAUUAGUACCAUUUUUAUGUCUCCUUCUGUGUCAGACUAAGUAUCAACACAAUAGGAACUACAUGUGCUUUAUUUACCUCUAAGCGUUUUUUUUUUCUUUUUAAAUAAAGAUUUAUUUACUUAUUUAUUUGGGAUAGGGAGGGACAGAGGGAGAGGGAGGAAUCUCAAGCAGACUCUCUGCUGAGCAUGGAGCCUGACCUGGGGCUUAAUCUCAUGACCCUGAGAUCAUGACCUGAGCUAAAAUCAAGAGUUUGAUGCUUAACUGAAUGAGACACUCAGGCACUUCUUUUUUCAUUUUUUUUUAAAGGAUUUUAUUUGUAAGUAAUCUCUACACCCACCAUGGGGAUUGAACUCACAGUCCUGAGACCAACAGUUGCCUCUCUACUGACAGAGCGGCUAGGCCCCAAUUCACCUCUACUUCUUGACUACAUUACACAUUUUUCAUUUAGAUGUUCUAUUUUGACAUAUACUCUGAAUGGAAGGAAUUAGUAAAUAAAUUUUACUAUCUAUUCUUCAAUAACAUUUACAAAACUAUUUGGACUUUGGUUUUAGAACAAAGAAUUCAAGAAGUUUUCUUUAAUAAGUAUUUAAUAUAUAAAACAAAAGUGCAAAUUUAAUAACAUGGAAAGUGAAUAUGUUUUCUAAAUUUUAAUGCAGUGUAAAGAUGAACAGUUCAUUAUAUAUAAUUUCUGAAUUCUAUAAGCAUGAUAGAUGAAACAAGAAAUGAAUAAGUAAGUAAAAAUAAAUACAAGAAACAAACCAUUAGGGUAGUCAUCUCUUAGGGAUUGAUGGUUCUGAGGCUGGAGUUUUUACAUAUUCUUGCUUCAUACUAUUCACAAAAUAUUUGUUGAGAUAAAUUCUAUAACAUCUCUACUAAAGCAGGAAUGGGAGCCUCUUGCAGUCCCCGACGUUCGUGCGGGGGAGAUACGGCACAUCCAUCAGCCACAGUCCUGUCACAGGGAGCCCACGUCUCCAUCCUUAGUCCUUUAUUUUUUUUAUUGGAUUUCAAUUUGCCAACAUAUAGAAUAACACCCAGUGCUCAUCCCAUCUAGUGCCCCCCUCAAUGCCCGUCACCCAGUCACCCCCACCCCCUGCCCACCUCCCCUUCCACUAUCCCUUGUUCAUUUCCCAGAGUUAGGAGUCUCUCAUGUUCUGUCUCCCUGUUAUAUUUCCCACUCAUUUUCUCUCCUUUCCUCUUUAUUCCCUUUCACUAUUUUUUAUAUUCCCCAAAUGAAUGAGACCAUAUAAUGUUUGUCCUUUUCCGAUUGACUUAUUUCACUCAGCAUAAUACCCUCCAGUUCCAUCCACAUCGAAGUAAAUGGUGGGUAUUUGUCGUUUCUAAUGGCUGAGUAAUAUUCCAUUGUAUACAUAGACCACAUCUUCUUUAUCCAUUCAUCUUUCGAUGGACACCAAGGCUCCUUCCACAGUUUGGCUAUUGUGGACAUUGCUGCUAGAAACAUCGGGGUGCAGGUGUCCCGGCAUUUUACUGCAUCUGUAUCUUUGGGGUAAAUCCCCAGCAGUGCAAUUGCUGGGUCGUAGGGCAGGUCUAUUU
rnacentral:lncRNA from 1 species